rnacentral:rRNA from 1 species
UACAGAGGUCUCAAGCGUUGUUCGGAUUCAUUGGGCGUAAAGGGUGCGUAGGCGGCGCGGUAAGUCGGGUGUGAAAUCUUGGAGCUUAACUCCGAAACUGCAUUCGAUACUGCCGUGCUUGAGGACUGGAGAGGAGACUGGAAUUUACGGUGUAGCGGUGAAAUGCGCAGAUAUCAGGAAGAACACCCGUGGCUAAGGCGGCUCUCUAGUACGGUACUGACGCUGAGGAGCGAAAGCGUGGGGAGCGAACAGG